rnacentral:rRNA from 1 species
GACGAACGCUGGCGGCGUGCCUAAUACAUGCAAGUCGAACGCAGUGGGGACGGGUGAGUAACACGUGGGUAACCUCCCAUCAGAGGGGAUAACACUUGGAAACAGGUGCUAAACCGAUACUGAUGGAUGGACCCGCGGUGCAUUAGCUAGUUGGUGAGGUAACGGCACACGACGGCGACGAUGCAUAGCCGACCUGCGAGGGUGAGUGGCCACACUGGGACUGCGAUCCGGCCCAGAGUCCCACGGGCUGCACCAGUAGGGAAUCUGCGGCAAUGGACGAAAGUCGGACCGAGAAACGCCGCGUGAGUGAAGAAGGUUUUCGGAUCGUAAAACUCUGUUGUUAGGGAAGCGGUAUCUACCCAGAAAGCCACGGCUAACUACGUGCCAGCAGCCGCGGUAAUUC